rnacentral:sRNA from 1 species
AUCUUCUCCCAAAGGCUUCUCAUCUUUUUGUUUGUUCUUCUCUCCUCAGAUGCUGAUAGGUCUUGCUGGCUACCUGAGUGGAUAUGAUGGUACCUUUUUGUUCCAGAAGCCUGGGGAUAAAUAUGAGCAUCACAGCUACAUGGGAAUGAGAGGAUUCUGUGCAUUCCUCGGCUCCUGGCUGGUCCCCUUUGCCUACCUCACUGUACUGGAUCUGUCCAAGUCCCUCUCGGCAGCACUGCUCACAGCUGCCCUCCUCACCUUUGACACGGGAUGCCUCACUCUGUCCCAGUACAUCCUCCUUGACCCCAUCCUGAUGUUCUUCAUCAUGGCUGCCAUGCUGAGCAUGGUCAAGUACAACUCUUGCGCCGACAGGCCCUUCUCUGCCCCCUGGUGGUUCUGGCUCAGCCUGACUGGCGUUAGUCUUGCUGGUGCUUUAGGGGUCAAGUUUGUCGGCCUCUUUAUCAUCCUUCAAGUGGGGCUGAACACCAUUGCAGACCUUUGGUACCUGUUCGGAGACCUCAGUCUUUCAUUGG